ensembl:lncRNA
CCGAGUGUGCGUUAAGUAGUGUUUGCGUUCCUCUGUGCUCAUUGAUGAGGGUCAGAAGGUCACGGGGUUAAUUGCAGUUUUAUACACUAAGUGGACAAUUAGAGGGCAUUUUAGUCGGCUUAGCUUUGAGUUUCAGGUAUCAGUGAGAGGGGGGUUGGGUUUGGCGUUCAGGGGUCAAAGAAGAUUAGCACAAAUUGCCAUUUUCACACCCUGUUCGAGGUGCAUUGGGAAAAUCCAUUAUUGAAGGUGGCGGUAAUGUACAAUUUAGCACAGAAGAAGACGAGAAGGGGGGAAUGAAGGAAGAAGAGUGUUAAUGGUGUUUACUGCUCAUCUGGAGAGAUGCCGCCAUCUUGCUGCAGGAGGUUAGAAGUUUAAGUCGUUAUCAGUGUGCGUGAACAUCACCAGCAGAAUUUACUCUCAUGUGCGACUGUCUUUGGCAUCCAGUAAUGCCUCCACACCUGUACUCGGUCAGAGCUGUGCCAUAGCCACGCCCACAAACAGGUGUCUACGUACAUCACAACGCCUCUGUCUCCUGUAACGCACGCCGGUGCAGUGGAACGUCCUGCAUCUCUGCAUGCUCCUAAUCGGUCUCUCCUGCAAUCAAGGUCAUCCAGAGUUGAAGAACUUCACAGAGAGACUUCUGUUCACUGAGGAAAGCCAAC